rnacentral:rRNA from 1 species
AGUGAACGCUGGCGGUAGGCCUAACACAUGCAAGUCGAACGGCAGCACAGUAAGAGCUUGCUCUUACGGGUGGCGAGUGGCGGACGGGUGAGGAAUACAUCGGAAUCUACUUUUUCGUGGGGGAUAACGUAGGGAAACUUACGCUAAUACCGCAUACGACCUACGGGGGAAAGCAGGGGAUCUUCUGACCUUGCGCGAUUGAAUGAGCCGAUGUCGGAUUAGCUAGUUGGCGGGGUAAAUGCCCACCAAGGCGACGAUCCGUAGCUGGUCUGAGAGGAUGAUCAGCCACACUGGAACUGAGACACGGUCCAGACUCCUACGGGAGGCAGCAGUGGGGAAUAUUGGACAAUGGGCGCAAGCCUGAUCCAGCCAUACCGCGUGGGUGAAGAAGGCCUUCGGGUUGUAAAGCCCUUUUGUUGGGAAAGAAAAGCAGCAGGUUAAUACCACGCUGUUCUGACGGUACCCAAAGAAUAAGCACCGGCUAACUUCGUG